rnacentral:lncRNA from 1 species
GUAGGGUCGAAAAAUAGUUUCAAAACUAGGUUCAGAUUUUCAUAUAAAAAACCUGGAAAGUUUUUCAGCAUUUGUAGGUUUCAAAACAACUUCCAUUUGAUACAAAUACAGAGUUGAAAAAUAAUUUCAAAACUAAGUUCAGAUUUUCAUAUAAAAAACAUGGAAUCUUUCUCAGCAUUCAUAGGUUUCAAAACAACUUCAAUUUGAUACAAAUACAGAGUUGAAUUCAAAAACAUAAACUUUGGAAGUGAUUGUAAGAUUUAGAACUUUAAAACGACACGAGUUUGAUAUUUAGUGGAAUACUAAAGGAACUUCUAUCUUAAGACACAUGGAAGAAUUGCUUGUAAAGGAAACUGUAAAUUUUUGAAAGGACCCUUGGUUUUAAGAACAUCAUCAUCAUCAUCAUCUUCUUUCUAGGCUAGCUACCCUUCUUCACUCUCUCAAAGCCUAUCAUCCUUGUCUUCCUAUACAACAGUCCACAUUAUGCUCUAUUUACAGGCUUGCAAGUACAAUUUGGGGCCCAAUAGGUCGGUUUGACUGGUUAGUUUCCUAGGUCGGUUGAGGAGGUUAGCUGCUAGGGUUCAUCUCUAUUUUAAGCAAAUAUAUGUAAUUAGUAUCCCCCUUUUGCAUUCCAUAAAGAUACUUAAAACCUCAAAUUCCUCAAGAUUAAAAAGUUGAUUUGCCAACUCUAGUAUAAAUUCCCAAUUUUUGGUGUUGUAUCAACAUUUCAAUUUUUGGUGUUGUAUCAACAUUUCAAUUUUUAAAUGUUCAGGUAUUUCUCAAAUCUCAGGACCUCAUAAUUUCUAUUAUAGCCAAAUAUUGACAAUACCCAAAACCC